rnacentral:rRNA from 1 species
GACGAACGCUGGCGGCGUGCUUAACACAUGCAAGUCGAACGAUGAAGCACCAGCUUGCUGGUGUGGAUUAGUGGCGAACGGGUGAGUAACACGUGAGUAACCUGCCCCUCACUCUGGGAUAAGCCUGGGAAACUGGGUCUAAUACUGGAUACGACCGAUCUCCGCAUGGAGUGGUGGUGGAAAGUUUUUGUGGUGGGGGAUGGACUCGCGGCCUAUCAGCUUGUUGGUGGGGUAGUGGCCUACCAAGGCGACGACGGGUAGCCGGCCUGAGAGGGCGACCGGCCACACUGGGACUGAGACACGGCCCAGACUCCUACGGGAGGCAGCAGUGGGGAAUAUUGCACAAUGGGCGAAAGCCUGAUGCAGCGACGCCGCGUGAGGGAUGACGGCCUUCGGGUUGUAAACCUCUUUCACCAGGGACGAAGCUAACGUGACGGUACCUGGAGAAGAAGCACCGGCUAACUACGUG